rnacentral:tRNA from 1 species
GGAGGGGUGCUGGAGCGGACGAACAGGACGGACUUGAAAUCCGUUGGGGACUUCCAUCCCCGCGUGGGUUCAAAUCCCACCUCCUCCGCCA